rnacentral:lncRNA from 1 species
GGUCUUUCCUCAUUAACAAGACAACCAUGGACAGCCACACCGUCCUGAAGGACAGGAAAAAGGCCCACAUGCUCCUGCAACAAUCACCGCCUAACUACGUUCAGCCUACCAUGGAAACAAAAGUUGGACAGAGUUCUGGG